UACGUAGGGAGCAAGCGUUGUCCGGAUUUAUUGGGCGUAAAGAGCUCGUAGGCGGCUUAGCAAGUCAGAUGUGAAAACUCCAGGCUCAACCUGGAGACGCCAUUUGAUACUGCUAUGGCUUGAGUUCGGUAGGGGACCAUGGAAUUCCUGGUGUAGCGGUGAAAUGCGUAGAGAUCGGGAAGAACAUCGGUGGCGAAAGCGCUCUACUGGACCGCAACUGACACUCAGGGACGAAAGCUAGGGGAGCGAAUGGG
rnacentral:rRNA from 1 species